AGAGUUUGAUCCUGGCUCAGAUUGAACGCUGGCGGCAGGCCUAACACAUGCAAGUCGAGCGGUAACAGAAAGUAGCUUGCUACUUUGCUGACGAGCGGCGGACGGGUGAGUAAUGCUUGGGAACAUGCCUUGAGGUGGGGGACAACAGUUGGAAACGACUGCUAAUACCGCAUAAUGUCUACGGACCAAAGGGGGCUUCGGCUCUCGCCUUUAGAUUGGCCCAAGUGGGAUUAGCUAGUUGGUGAGGUAAUGGCUCACCAAGGCAACGAUCCCUAGCUGGUUUGAGAGGAUGAUCAGCCACACUGGAACUGAGACACGGUCCAGACUCCUACGGGAGGCAGCAGUGGGGAAUAUUGCACAAUGGGCGAAAGCCUGAUGCAGCCAUGCCGCGUGUGUGAAGAAGGCCUUCGGGUUGUAAAGCACUUUCAGUCAGGAGGAAAGGGUGUGAGUUAAUACCUCAUAUCUGUGACGUUACUGACAGAAGAAGCACCGGCUAACUCCGUGCCAGCAGCCGCGGUAAUACGGAGGGUGCGAGCGUUAAUCGGAAUUACUGAGCGUAAAGCGUACGCAGGCGGUUUGUUAAGCGAGAUGUGAAAGCCCCGGGCUCAACCUGGGAACUGCAUUUCGAACUGGCAAACCAGAGUGUGAUAGAGGGUGGUAGAAUUUCAGGUGUAGCGGUGAAAUGCGUA
rnacentral:rRNA from 1 species